rnacentral:rRNA from 1 species
UAAGGAAUAUUGGUCAAUGGACGCAAGUCUGAACCAGCCAUGCCGCGUGGAGGAUUAAGGCCCUCUGGGUUGUAAACUCCUUUUAUCUGGGAAGAAAUGUACUUUUUCUUGAGUACUUGACGGUACCAGAGGAAUAAGCACCGGCUAACUCAGUGCCAGCAGCCGCGGUAAUACGGAGGGUGCAAGCGUUAUGCGGAUUCACUGGGUUUAAAGGGUGCGUAGGUGGGCAGGUAAGUCAGUGGUGAAAUCUCCGGGCUUAACCCGGGAACUGCCGUUGAUACUAUUUGUCUUGAAUAUUGUGGAGGUAAGCGGAAUAUGACAUGUAGCGGUGAAAUGCUUAGAUAUGACGUAGAACACCAAUGGCGAAGGCAGCUUACUACACAAUCAUUGACGCUGAGGCACGAAAGCGUGGGGA